GAUGUGCAGUGCGCUGCCCUUCAGAACACCGGUGUGCGCAGCAGGUGGUUUAGGUGACUCUGCUUCCCGCCAAGAAAGGCAGAUUGCCACAUGCAGCGCCUCAUUUGGAUGUGUCUGGAAUCUUGGAAGCUUGACUACCCUACGUUCUCCUACAAAUGGACCUUGAGAGCUUGUUUGGAGGUUCUACCAGGGGAGCCCAGCUCCUCUAUUUGGUAUGGUCGUCCUCUUCGACUGAGCUGCAGCUUCUGGAGGGACGCACAUGAAGCAGUGAGGAAGGAAGGGGACACCCGCCUAGCCAGCCAGAUCAGCCGAAUCAACCCUGGCGAUCAAUGGGAUGACAGGUGUCGCAGCCAGAUCGCCCUCAUAUCCGGUAGUUCUACUUUUAACCUUUUGUGGAAUCUCCAUAGUUUUCUGCGGUGCUGCGCCAUUUACAUUCCCACCAACAGCGCACAGAGGUUUACACUUGUACAUGUUUCCACUGACGAACGAAAAACUUUCAUGUUUUU
rnacentral:antisense_RNA from 1 species